rnacentral:lncRNA from 1 species
AAGGAUUUGACAAGAAAAAGUACGGGUGGCUUUUCACUUAUAUCUCUGUAGUCUUUCUGGGUUCAAGUUUGUCUUUGAAGCUCUCUCUGAUUGACUUGUAUAUCAAUAAUUAAGAGGAAAAACAAAAUAAGAACAUUCAUUCUCUCUUUCCAGGUAUGUCAAGUUACUUUUUUAAAGCUUCAUGGGCAGUUUAUUACUAGAUACAAAUGGAUUAUAGCUAGAUUGUUCACCAAAUUAAGAAAAUUGUUCCGAUUAUAGCUAGACUGUUUAUCAAAGCCUAAUUCUCUUUCCUCUCUUCUUCUUUUUUGGUACUUUUUUUUUAAUAUUUCUUGGUUUGGUUUAUUACAUGAUUAAACCUUCACUGGUCAUUACAUACAGUGUGUAUUAGAUUAUUCAAUGUAGUUUAGUUUAGCAAUUAUGAACAAAGUCUUUGAAUACCAGAAGUCUUUGAUGUUCCCUAAUAAUUUAUAUAAUUUUCUAGAAGUCUUAAUUAUUACCUGAGCAAAAGCUAAGCCAUAAGAAUAUAUGCUCAAGUUCAUUAAUAUUAGAAAAGAUGAAUAAGCUAAUGAAUUGGGGUUGCAUAACCCAACUUUGACUUAAUUUCUGUUGUUCACUAAACAUCAACCCCUGAAACAGAUUCUGGUUUUAGAUAUUAUCAUUCUAACCUUUAUGGUUUCAGACUCGACUUCAGGUGGCAAACGAAGCCAUGCUGAGUAAAGCAAUGACUCAUAGACAGUAACAUGAGGGGAGUGGAUGUCAUUUUGCUCACAGUAUCCAGAAAUCCGGGCAAAGGUUUCUUGCUUCUUGGGGUAGCCGG